rnacentral:rRNA from 1 species
CCUACGGGCGGCUGCAGUGGGGAAUAUUGGACAAUGGGGGCAACCCUGAUCCAGCCAUGCGGCGUGUGUGAAGAAGGCCCUCGGGUUGUAAAGCACUUUCAGUGAGGAAGAACGCCUGGUGGUUAAUACCCAUCAGGAAAGACAUCACUCACAGAAGAAGCACCGGCUAACUCCGUGCCAGCAGCCGCGGUAAUACGGAGGGUGCGAGCGUUAAUCGGAAUUACUGGGCGUAAAGCGCGCGUAGGUGGCUUGAUAAGCCGGUUGUGAAAGCCCCGGGCUCAACCUGGGAACGGCAUCCGGAACUGUCAAGCUAGAGUGCAGGAGAGGAAGGUAGAAUUCCCGGUGUAGCGGUGAAAUGCGUAGAGAUAGGGAGGAAUACCAGUGGCGAAGGCGGCCUUCUGGACUGACACUGACACUGAGGUGCGAAAGCGUGGGUAGCAAACAGGAUUAGAUACCCGAGUAGUC